rnacentral:lncRNA from 1 species
AGAACUGGACAAAGGGAAAAGCUUCGAUCGCCACCGCCACUUCCCGCGUAGGAGGCAGUAGCUCCCUUCUCCAGCCCAAGUGGGCCUCGGACAGCAAUAGCAACGGUGGCUGCUGUUGGCGCUGAGGACCGGGGCGGGGUCCGGGCCAGGCUGAACUGCGCGCGGCCAAGAAGUCACCUCCUAGGCACGGGAGCGGGGAGAGGCGGCAGCUGAGAGAGUUGCCUGCCAGGGGAUCCCCGCCCAUCAAGUUCCUGAUCACUGGUUGGGAGGAGCCCCACGGCGGCCACGAGCCUUUGGGGCGCCCCUUGGAGGAAAACUCUGCCUCGGAGGGAGCCCGUGUCUGAAUGGAGAUUUCCUGCAGCUGCCAGGGCGGGGCUGGCAAGAGGGUGCGGCCCGCGCGGACCUCCGAGGAUCCUAACGAUCCGGGAAAGGUGCAGCGCUCCCCGAACCCCGGGGUGUCUCCUCAGGUCAGUCUACUCAAAAGGGCCAGCCUAAAUUAAAGGAGAUAUAUGGGAUCCGGAGGACAGCAACAGAAAUGCAGAAACAAAAGUCACCAGGACUGAGGAGAUGAUGCUUAUUGAAAAGAAACUUCUCACCACAAGCCAAAGAGCAGACUGGACUUCCCAGAUAAGGUAAAUUAGCUAAAAACAAAGGAAUAGACCAUCUGGGUCUGGUUGACUGCCACUGACCCACAAAAACUGCUGAAACAGGCAAUGGGUUACAAAGAGCCAAAAUCCCUUUCUGUUGUGGAGAAGCCACAUAGCAACUGCCACUCCGUGGAGAACCAGAAGAUGGCAGAAGAAAGCAGGAGAGGACCUGAAGAAAAC